rnacentral:rRNA from 1 species
UUCGAUUUCCGGUUGAUCCUGCCAGCGGUCACUGCUAUCGAGUUCCGACUAAGCCAUGCGAGUCACAGGCCGUAAGGUACUGGCAGACGGCUCAGUAACACGCGGAUAAUCUAACCUCAGGUGGGGUAUAACCUUGGGAAACUGAGGCUAAUCCCUCAUAGGUCCUGUAAACUGGAAUGUUUUAGGACUUAAAGCUAUGGCGCCUGAGGAUGAGUCUGCGGCCUAUCAGGUAGUAGGUGGGGUAAAGGCCCACAUAGCCUAUGACGGGUACGGGCCCUGAGAGGGGUAGCCCGGAGACGGGUUCUGAGACACGAACCCAGGCCCUACGGGGCGCAGCAGGCGCGAAACCUUCGCAAUGCGCGCAAGCGCGACGAGGGGAACUCGAGUGCUAUUAUCCUUUUGGGUGAUAGCUUUUCUCGAUCCUAAAAAGAUCGGGGAAUGAAAGCUGGGUAAGACGGGUGCCAGCCGCCGCGGUAAUACCCGCAGCUCAAGUGGUGGCCACUAUUAUUGAGCCUAAAGCGUCCGUAGCCGAUCUUGUAAAUCUCUGGGUAAAUCCCAUCGCUCAACGGUGGGAAGACUGGAGAGACUGCAAGACUAGGGAUCGGGUGAGGUAAGAGGUACUCCUGGGGUGGGGGUAAAAUCCUGUAAUCCUGGGGGGACGACCGGUGGCGAAGGCGUCUUACUAGAACGACUCCGACGGUGAGGGACGAAGGCUAGGGGAGCAAACCGGAUUAGAUACCCGGGUAGUCCUAGCUGUAAACGCUGCCCACUUGGUGUUGCCCUUUCGUAGGGAAAGGGCAGUGCCGGAGCGAAGGUGUUAAGUGGGCCGCUUGGGGAGUAUGGUCGCAAGGCUGAAACUUAAAGGAAUUGGC